GACGAACCGUGCGCACGUUGUUCGGAAUCACUGGGCUUAAAGGGCGCGUAGGCGGGUCGGAAAGUCCGCUGUGAAAUCCCCCCGCUCAACGGGGGAACGGCCGCGGAUACUGCCGGCCUCGAGGGGGGUAGGGGCGAGCGGAACGCUGGGUGGAGCGGUGAAAUGCGUUGAUAUCCAGCGGAACUCCGGUGGCGAAGGCGGCUCGCUGGACCUUCACUGACGCUGAGGCGCGAAAGCCAGGGGAGCGAACGGG
rnacentral:rRNA from 1 species